AUUUAUAGACACAAUUUUGCCCGAAUAAGCCCAGAAAUCGGCUUUAAACUGCCAUUGAAGGUUGUUUUAUUUUUAUUUUAUGUUUAAGGACAAGUUGUACGUUGUACUAUUUAUAUUUAUACGUAUUUUUUCGAAGAAUAGCUGAACAUAUGUAGAAUUUUUGAGUCAUAACAUGUAGCACUGACCAGUAUUUUUCGAUGAUUAUAUUUGUUGGGUUUUUUUUGCAGUUUGGUCGCAGAGAAGUACAUUUCGGGCUUGGCACUUAGUCCACUGAAUCCAAUUCACUGUAUUUUACUGUCUUUAGUAUCGAUAUGGUUGAUUUUUAAACUUUUUGUAUCUGCGAAGCAAAUAUAUUGCUGUCGCAAACGUACCGUACCGUGUGUUAACACAUAGCCAUUAAUUAAGCAACGAGCAUAUAUAAUUGAGCCAUUUCAUGAUAAUUUAAGCCAAUCAACGAUUAGUUUACAUCGAUUGUUUACAUCGUGCCCGCAUCUAUCCUGCGAACGGGCAUCGUUUGGCCUCGUGAUUCGUGAAUAUUCUUUGUCAUUUUCACGUUUUGGCUUCGAAAUCUAUCAACAUGGGAACUUAAUAUCCCCAUCUGAUAAGUAGUCAAAUACCACAUAUUUUUUUAUCUACCGCUAUACAGUACUACUAAAAACAUUCGGCGUGUCAAAACAUAGCGUAUAAUUUCUCAAGAAAUUCGUCCUCGGCAGCAAGGCGAUAUUGCCAAUGAACAAUAUCACAGGAAACUAAUGUUCUCAGAUACAAUUGAAUUAAAUCCUGGUCCUGUAUUUUUGUAAUUCUUUUCAAAACAACAGUCCAACUAAGCUGUUCUCUAAUGUAUCAUUUGUGUAUGUUCUAAUAACAUGUUAUCAGUUAAAAUACUUAUACAUUUUGGUUUUACACAUUUACCAGUAAUAUAUAGAGUUUAAAAAUUAAACAAAAUUUUUACAAACAUUUUCAAAUGCUAAUACAGUAAAAGAAUCCCCACCCUCUCUCCUCUUUACAUUGUCAUUUUGCUUUCUAACAUAGGCCCCUAAAUGUUUUUGUUUAGAGAUAAUACCAGAAUGAUGAAUAAAAAGCUGCAUAUUGGCUAGAUAAUUUUGUCAGAACAACCCGCUUACAUUAGUAUGAAAAAUAAUUUAUAACAGCUACAAUAAUAUUAUAUGGAUGGAUCAGAUCAAUUUAAUGGCACACAAUCUACGGCUAAACUUGUGAUACUUUUACUCAAACCGAUAUUCUCCCAUGACACAAAUUGUUUUCGUGCGUGUAUCAUAUGUUGUGUUAAAACAUUCUUUACUAUUCAAUGGUCUUCAAUAUACGAUUGACUAUUUGCUACAGUAAUGCAUGUUCCUCGAAUAGUUU